rnacentral:rRNA from 1 species
UGGGGAAUUUUGGACAAUGGGCGAAAGCCUGAUCCAGCCAUGCCGCGUGAGUGAAGAAGGCCUUCGGGUUGUAAAGCUCUUUUAGUCGGAAAGAAAGAGUUGCAAUGAAUAAUUGUGAUUUAUGACGGUACCGACAGAAAAAGCACCGGCUAACUACGUGCCAGCAGCCGCGGUAAUACGUAGGGUGCGAGCGUUAAUCGGAAUUACUGGGCGUAAUGGGUGCGCAGGCGGUCUUGCAAGUCAGAUGUGAAAGCCCCGGGCUUAACCUGGGAAUUGCGUUUGAAACUACAAGGCUAGAGUGCAGCAGAGGGGAGUGGAAUUCCAUGUGUAGCAGUGAAAUGCGUAGAGAUGUGGAAGAACACCGAUGGCGAAGGCAGCUCCCUGGGUUGACACUGACGCUCAUGCACGAAAGCGUGGGGAGCAAACA